rnacentral:rRNA from 1 species
UACGGAGGGAGCUAGCGUUGUUCGGAAUUACUGGGCGUAAAGCGCACGUAGGCGGCUUUUUUAAGUCAGGGGUGAAAUCCCGGGGCUCAACCCCGGAACUGCCCUUGAAACUGGAGAGCUAGAAUCUUGGAGAGGCGAGUGGAAUUCCGAGUGUAGAGGUGAAAUUCGUAGAUAUUCGGAAGAACACCAGUGGCGAAGGCGACUCGCUGGACAAGUAUUGACGCUGAGGUGCGAAAGCGUGGGGAGCAAACAGG